rnacentral:rRNA from 1 species
AUUGAACGCUGGCGGCAUGCCUUACACAUGCAAGUCGAACGGCAGCACGGGUGCUUGCACCUGGUGGCGAGUGGCGAACGGGUGAGUAAUACAUCGGAACAUGUCCUGUAGUGGGGGAUAGCCCGGCGAAAGCCGGAUUAAUACCGCAUACGAUCCACGGAUGAAAGCGGGGGACCUUCGGGCCUCGCGCUAUAGGGUUGGCCGAUGGCUGAUUAGCUAGUUGGUGGGGUAAAGGCCUACCAAGGCGACGAUCAGUAGCUGGUCUGAGAGGGCGACCAGCCACACUGGGACUGAGACACGGCCCAGACUCCUACGGGAGGCAGCAGUGGGGAAUUUUGGACAAAGGGCGAAAGCCUGAUCCAGCAAUGCCGCGUGUGUGAAGAAGGACUUCGGGUUGUAAAGCACUUUUGUCCGGAAAGAAAUCCUUGACUCUAAUACAGUCGGGGGAUGACGGUACCGGAAGAAUAAGCACCGGCUAACUACGUG